AUUGAACGCUGGCGGCAGGCCUAACACAUGCAAGUCGAACGAGUGGCGGACGGGUGAGUAAUGUCUGGGAAACUGCCUGAUGGAGGGGGAUAACUACUGGAAACGGUAGCUAAUACCGCAUACCAUCGGAUGUGCCCAGAUGGGAUUAGCUAGUUGGUGGGGUAAAGGCUCACCAAGGCGACGAUCCCUAGCUGGUCUGAGAGGAUGACCGGCAACACUGGAACUGAGACACGGUCCAGACUCCGACGGGAGGCAGCAGUGGGGAAUAGUGCACAAUGGGCGCAAGCCUGAUGCAGCCAUGCCGCGUGUAUGAAGAAGGCCUUCGGGUUGUAAAGGACUUUCAGCGGGGAGGCGUUACCCGCAGAAGAAGCACCGGCUAACUCCGUGCCAGCAGCCGCGGUAAUAC
rnacentral:rRNA from 1 species